rnacentral:rRNA from 1 species
ACUCAAAGGAAUAGACGGGGGUCCGCACAAGCGGUGGAACAUGUGGUUUAAUUCGACACUACGCGAGAAACCUUACCUGGGCUUGACAUCUAACUGCAACUGAUAGAAAUAUUGGGUUCCGUAGCAAUACGGACGGUUAGACAGGUGCUGCAUGGCUGUCGUCAGCUCGUGUCGUGAGACGUCGGGUUAAGUCCUUGAACGAGCGCAACCCUUGCCGUUAGUUGCCUGUCGUAAGGCGGCACUCUAGCGGGACUGCCGUGGAAACACGGAGGAAGGUGGGGAUGACGUCAAGUCCUCAUGGCCCUUAUGCCCAGGGCUACACACGUGUUACAAUGGCGAGCCACAAAAGGAUGCGAAGUCGCGAGAUGGAGCUAAUCCCUAAAACUCGUCUAAGUUCGGAUUGUAGUCUGCAACCCGACUACAUGAAGCUGAAAUCGCUAGUAAUCGUAGAUCAGAACGCUACGGUGAAUACGUUCUCGGACCUUGCACACACCGCCCGU